AUUGAACGCUGGCGGCAGGCCUAACACAUGCAAGUCGAACGGUAACAGGAAGCAGCUUGCUGCUUCGCUGACGAGUGGCGGACGGGUGAGUAAUGUCUGGGAAACUGCCUGAUGGAGGGGGAUAACUACUGGAAACGGUAGCUAAUACCGCAUAACGUCGCAAGACCAAAGAGGGGGACCUUCGGGCCUCUUGCCAUCGGAUGUGCCCAGAUGGGAGUAGCUAGUAGGUGGGGUAACGGCUCACCUAGGCGACGAUCCCUAGCUGGUCUGAGAGGAUAGCCAGCCACACUGGAACUGAGACACGGUCCAGACUCCUACGGGAGGCAGCAGUGGGGAAUAUUGCACAAUGGGCGCAAGCCUGAUGCAGCCAUGCCGCGUGUAUGAAGAAGGCCUUCGGGUUGUAAAGUACUUUCAGCGGGGAGGAAGGUGUUGAGGUUAAUAACCUCAGCAAUUGACGUUACCCGCAGAAGAAGCACCGGCUAACUCCGUGCCAGCCGCCGCGGUAAAAC
rnacentral:rRNA from 1 species